AGUGCCCUCGUCCCCCGCAGUCUCUGUGCGUUGAAGCCGGAGACCGCGGCGGCCUCAGCGAGGACCCUCCGCCCCGGAGCCGCCGGCCGGAGCCGCAGCCUCUGCCGCAGCGCCCCCGCCACCUGUCCCCUCCCCCGCCGCCUCCGCCGGAGCCGCCUCGCGCACUCUGGGGUAUGGCCGUCAAUGUGUACUCCACAUCUGUGACCAGUGAAAAUCUGAGUCGCCAUGAUAUGCUUGCAUGGGUCAACGACUCCCUGCACCUCAACUAUACCAAGAUAGAACAGCUUUGUUCAGGUAGGAGGCUGGGAAUAUGGGAAGUGGCCCUGCUGGAAGGAAAGGAAAGAAAGGUCGGAAGGCAGAGCAGCCACAACAGGGAAUAUACAGUCAUGCAUGGCUGAAUGACUGAUGUGGCCAGAGAAAUGCAUCCUUAGGCGAUGUUGUUGUUGUGUGAACAUCACAGAGUGUAUUUACACAAACCUGGAUGGUGUAGCCUACUACACACCUCGGCUAUAUGGUAUAGCCUACUACUCCUAGGCUAAAAACAUGGACAGCAUGUUUCUGUACUAAAUACUGC
rnacentral:sRNA from 1 species